rnacentral:rRNA from 1 species
AGUGAACGCUGGCGGUAGGCCUAACACAUGCAAGUCGAACGGCAGCACAGUAAGAGCUUGCUCUUACGGGUGUCGAGUGGCGGACGGGUGAGGAAUACAUCGGAAUCUACUUUUUCGUGGGUGAUAACGUAGGGAAACUUACGCUAAUACCGCAUACGACCUACGGGUGAAAGCAGGGGAUCUUCGGACCUUGCGCGAUUGAAUGAGCCGAUGUCGGCUUAGCUAGUUGGCGGGGUAAAGGCCCACCAAGGCGACGAUCCGUAGCUGGUCUGAGAGGAUGAUCAGACACACUGGAACUGAGACACGGUACAGACUCCUACGGGAGGCAGCAGUGGGGAAUAUUGGACAAUGGGCGAAAGCCUGAUCCAGCCAUACCGCGUGGGUGAAGAAGGACUUCGGGUUGUAAAGCCCUUUUGUUGGGAAAGAAAAGCAGCAGGUUAAUACCCCGCUGUUCUGACGGUACCCAAAGAAUAAGCACCGGCUAACUUCGUG